GACGAACGCUGGCGGCGUGCCUAACACAUGCAAGUCGAACGGAAGUAAGUGCUUCGGUAUUUACUUUAGUGGCGAACGGGUGAGUAACGCGUGAGGAACCUGCCUUUCAGUGGGGGACAACAGUUGGAAACGACUGCUAAUACCGCAUGACGCUUCUUAGGGGCAUCCCUGAGAAGUCAAAGCUUUAUGUGCUGAAAGAUGGCCUCGCGUCUGAUUAGCUAGUUGGUGAGGUAACGGCUCACCAAGGCGACGAUCAGUAGCCGGUCUGAGAGGAUGAACGGCCACAUUGGGACUGAGAUACGGCCCAG
rnacentral:rRNA from 1 species